GCCAUUUACAUAGUGCCAACAGAUUCUGUAGCGUUUUACAAUAUUAUGAGAGGGGGGAUUUAACUAUAAACAGGAACAAUAGGUUGAAGAGGACCCUGCUCAAACAAGCUUACAGUCUAUAGGAGGUGGGGUAUAAGACAUGUUAGGACAGGAAAUAUCAAUCAAAUAGGGUGGGAGUGAAGCAGAGCUGGAGGAGAGAGUAAAGCACUGCCCUAUAGGAGAGAGCAAGAGACAGGUAUGUAAGGUAGAGGUUACUCUGGGAGGCCAUAAGCUUUCCUAAAGAGAUGGGUUUUAA